UUUUUUUUUUGGUGGAGGGCAAUCUCGCUCACUGUCUUUGUGAUAAUGCCUUGUAGAACUAUACUUGGCCAUGAGUGGAAUGCAAGUUUUGCUUAGGAAUGGUUUGCUGUUGAGGGUGGAAACUAUUAGCAUAUGCAACUUUUCAUAGGCAACAACUCAAGGCUGACUUCACCAUUCCUGGUGUAAGGGCAAUUCUUGCAGCAUUCUUACUCCUUUCUACCAUUUAGUUUCAGGAUAUAUAAUUGAUCCUCCCAUAAACACCACUAGAUAAAGUUAGGGAUUUCAGUCAACAUGACACUGAAAAUGAAUAAAAUUAUAUAAACCAAGACCCUAAGGACUCAGUAAAUGCUGUCCUGCUUUCCCUCUGCCUUCCUUACAUUUUAGUGCAAUGAGUUUUUCCCAUAGCAUGUAUAUCAAGGCCCCACUACACAGAGAGGGCAGAGAGUAAGAACUCAGUAUUUUUCUGUAGAAUGGAGUCUUGUUCCUGUUUUGUAGAUCAGCCGAGGCAGCUUGCCUUCCAAUUGUAAAUCCUCUGGGCUCCCUAUCGAUUGCAGAUUGGGUUCAAGUCUGCCCUACAAGUGUCUCAUUUGGGGACCAAGUUCUACCAGGGACAUUUUUUUCUGAUGGCAAUGACACAAGCACAAGAAGAAACAACUGCUGACUCUCAAAGCCUUGGUGCAGAAGAAGGGAAAAAUUCAGGAGACAUUCCUAGUGAAGAAGGAAGAGGAUUUGCUGAUUGACUUCAUAUCAAGAAUCUGGGGAAAUGAUUCCAAAUCAACACAAAAUUCCAAGUGUUGGUGGUUGAGGAGUCUCACUCUGUUGUCCAGG